rnacentral:rRNA from 1 species
GAUGAACGCUAGCUACAGGCUUAACACAUGCAAGUCGCGGGGCAGCAUGGGGGUUGCUUGCAAUCCCCGAUGGCGACCGGCGCACGGGUGAGUAACGCGUAUCCAACCUGCCCUUGACCACGGGAUAACCCGGCGAAAGUCGGACUAAUACCGUAUGUUGUCCAUUGACGGCAUCCGAUUUGGACGAAAGGCUUGGCGGUGAGGGAUGGGGAUGCGUCCGAUUAGCCAGACGGCGGGGUAACGGCCCACCGUGGCUACGAUCGGUAGGGGUUCUGAGAGGAAGGUCCCCCACACUGGAACUGAGACACGGUCCAGACUCCUACGGGAGGCAGCAGUGAGGAAUAUUGGUCAAUGGGCGUAAGCCUGAACCAGCCAAGUAGCGUGCAGGAUGACGGCCCUAUGGGUUGUAAACUGCUUUUAUGCGGGGAUAAAGUGGCCCACGUGUGGGCUUUUGCAGGUACCGCAUGAAUAAGGACCGGCUAAUUCCGUG